rnacentral:rRNA from 1 species
UUUAAUAAUUGCAUAAAGUGAACGAGCCUAAUCCCGUCUGAUCUCAAAAGCUAAGCAGGGUCAGGCCUGGUUAGAACUUGGAUAGGAGACCACCUAGGAAGACCAGGUGCUGUAGGCA